UCGAACGGUAAGGCGCUUUCGGGCGUACACGAGUGGCGAACGGGUGAGUAACACGUGAGGAACGUGCCCUUGACUUUGGUAUAGCACUCGGAAACAGGUGGUAAUCCCGAAUAUUCAGUUUCCCGGGCAUCCGGGUUGUUGGAAAGCUUUUUGCGGUCAGGGAUCGUCUCGCGGCCUAUCAGCUUGUUGGUGGGGUAGUGGCCCACCAAGGCCUUGACGGGUAGCCGGCCUGAGAGGGCGACCGGCCACAUUGGGACUGAGAUACGGCCCAGACUCCUACGGGAGGCAGCAGUGGGGAAUAUUGCACAAUGGGCGGAAGCCUGAUGCAGCAACGCCGCGUGCGGGAUGACGGCCUUCGGGUUGUAAACCGCUUUCACCCAUGACGAAGCGCGAGUGACGGUAGUGGGGGAAGAAGCACCGGCCAACUACGUGCCAGCAGCCGCGGUGAUACGUAGGGUGCGAGCGUUGUCCGGAAUUAUUGGGCGUAAAGAGCUUGUAGGCGGUUGAUCGCGUCGAUAGUGAAAUCCCGGGGCUCAACCUCGGGCUUGCUGUCGAUACGGGUUGACUUGAGGAAGGUAGGGGAGAAUGGAACUCCCGGUGGAGCGGUGGAAUGCGCAGAUAUCGGGAAGAACACCGGUGGCGAAGGCGGUUCUCUGGACCUUUCCUGACGCUGAGAAGCGAAAGCGUGGGGAGCAAACAGGAUU
rnacentral:rRNA from 1 species